rnacentral:rRNA from 1 species
CCUACGGGACGCACCAGUGGGGAAUAUUGCACGAUGGGCGCGGGCCUGAUGCAGCCAUGCCGCGUGUAUGAAGAAGGCCUUCGGGUUGUAAAGUACUUUUAGCGGGGAGGAAGGCGAUAAGGUUAAUAACCUUGUCGAUUGACGUUACCCGCAGAAGAAGCACCGGCUAACUCCGUGCCAGCAGCCGCGGUAAUACGGAGGGUGCAAGCGUUAAUCGGAAUUACUGGGCGUAAAGCGCACGCAGGCGGUCUGUCAAGUCGGAUGUGAAAUCCCCGGGCUCAACCUGGGAACUGCAUUCGAAACUGGCAGGCUAGAGUCUUGUAGAGGGGGGUAGAAUUCCAGGUGUAGCGGUGAAAUGCGUAGAGAUCUGGAGGAAUACCGGUGGCGAAGGCGGCCCCCUGGACAAAGACUGACGCUCAGGUGCGAAAGCGUGGGGAGCAAACAGGAUUAGAUACCCGGGUAGUC